CACAUAAGCUUUAAGUCUGCCUUUCUUCAUGGUCCAGAACACAUAAUCCUCCUGCACAAAUAACUCAAUCUUCCAGCUAUCACCAGAUCCUUGACUGACAGAAAAGUUACAAGUUAGCUCACUGCAACCUUGGCGUUAUCAGCACCGUACAAAGCCCUCUUCAGCUCACAGCAUAAACACUGUCUUAUUAAACCCCCACCAAGUCUUUGUGUCCUUGCAGUCAGCUCCUCCCUUGCUAACUUGCCCAUUGCACUCUUGCAACAUAUUUUCAUACUUUCUUUAAUAAAUCUGCCUUUCUUUAUCUGCAACCGUCUUGGUAAAUUCUUCUUCUCACCACACCACCAGCCCCAGAUGGUCACCACUCACCUGUGACAGUUACCAAAAAGCAUGUGACUGUCAGGCGGUCAUCUCAAAAUCAAGAAACUGAAGAGUUAAAUGCACAGCGCUUUGUUUCAUUGCUGCGCUUCCUACAUGAGAAGUAAUGGGCUGCCGCCACACUUCCGAGGACGUGAGAAGGAAUGGGUGUGCCGCCACACUUCCGCGGACACAUUUGUUUUUAGAGGCUGAUUGCAGGAGGUGCUGAUGACUCAUUGGAAAUGCUGAUUGCUGCUGGGGAGGCAUCAGCCUAGAAGCCACUUGUCUGGACUUUUUUGUGCUGAGUUCUCAUAACAGCUCUUAUCACAGCACAGAGGCAUAAGGACCUUCAGAGCGUUUGCGCAACUGCUCUUACCGCAGACACACUGCACGAGGCUCCCUUCCUCGUGAUCUCCCGCUCUGCUUUGGGAAGGCGACUGCAUCCUGGCGUCAGCAACUUCCACAGGCUCCUAAGGAUGGCGUCAGAAACAGGCACCGAGCAACUUACUGGGAUUUUGGAACAGAAAUUACAAUAAUAUGUAACUUUUAUAAGAUCCCCAAGAGGGUCUGAUACAUAGCCGAGUUAGGGAAGACUGGAAUAGUGAGUUGAAUUAUGUUUUCCAAAAAAUAUGUCUAAGUCCUAACCCCACAUGGCUUGGCUAAGACCCCACCCAAAUCUCAUCUUGAAUUGUAGUUCUCA